rnacentral:lncRNA from 1 species
ACAGGCCAGCAGUGAGCGGGAACUAUCUCUGUCAGAGUAUUUAAUGAAAAGCAAAGGAUGUGAAACUCAGUUCUCUGUUUUGCCCUGCGAGGUGUUACAGGGAGCCCGUAUAUACGAACCACCUAUUUACCCUUCAAGUGUUUGCAUUAAUUAAAGUACAAAGAAAUCAGAAGUUACCAUGUGCUGACUAUUUUGUUCUGAUACCAGAUUCGAAUUGACGCGACCUAACAUGGUGACCCCGACGUGAUCUGAUUUUGUGUUCAACAGGUGAAUUACAGGAGAAGGUGAUUCACUCAAUUCAACCAGGAGACUGGGUGUGGAUCCAGUCCCUGAGGAGAAAAAAACUGGAAGCAGUCCCGUUGGGAAGGCCCAUACCAGGUGCUGUUAAACCAUUGCCUUUGCCAUUAGAAAAGCUGAGAGAGUCACUUGGGUCCACAUUAUCCACUGCAAGAAGGUAUGUACACAUAUGAGCACUGCUGAUCACACACAGAGUUAGGAGAAGAACCGAGUACCAACAGGGUCCGGGGGUUACCUCCUUAACGAAGAUUUCCUAUCCCGACCGUUCAUCACUGUGUGUGCUCCUAGAGGUGUGAGUAUGGGGUGGUACCUAGCAGAGAGACUAAGGGCAGGAGAGGGUUGGCGGUUUUUGGGAAGAGUAGAGACUCUGAGCUGCAUCAUAGUCUAAUCUUUCUGAUACAUUCAGAUCCACCACCUUCCGGUACUAAUCAUAUGACACCGUUGUCAUUUAUAAGAAUGAAAAUAUAAACUAUAUAAUACACUGAUGAGUGACAUACAGAAUAAGGAAUCAAAGAAGAUCAAGAUGUAGAAUUUAAGGUAAACAUUAAACAAUUUCCUGGGAAAGAAGACAACUGUACAGGAAUUGGGGUUGGCCAGAUUGAAGUACUCAGCCAACCCACCUCGGUUCACCUUAACUCCUGAUGAGUACCAGUGUUAUAGAUACAAGAAUGGCACCGAGAACUCAUAUGAUUUUAAUGGCUGAAAGUAAUCGUUAAUGUGACUGAAUUUGGUUUGAAAUAUGAAUAGAAAAUUCUUAACCUCACAGCACCUAUAACUGAUGAAGGGUGGGCUAGUACCAGCAAAGGACGCAUACGACAGAAAUGACCACAAAGGGUGGUUAGGAACUUGCGCCCUGGGGUUAUUGGUCCAACCAGUUCGAGUUAGUCAUCAGAGGCCAGUUAUAGGAGGCUAAACAAGGC